GACGAACGCUGGCGGCGUGCUUAACACAUGCAAGUCGAACGGAAAGGCCCUGCUUUUGUGGGGUGCUCGAGUGGCGAACGGGUGAGUAACACGUGAGUAACCUGCCCUUGACUUUGGGAUAACUUCAGGAAACUGGGGCUAAUACCGGAUAGGAGCUCCUGCUGCAUGGUGGGGGUUGGAAAGUUUCGGCGGUUGGGGAUGGACUCGCGGCUUAUCAGCUUGUUGGUGGGGUAGUGGCUUACCAAGGCUUUGACGGGUAGCCGGCCUGAGAGGGUGACCGGCCGGUGUGGGGGCGACGUGCGGGCGAGACGCCGGGGGGAGGAAGAGGGGGGGAAGAGGGGGAGUGGGGCGGAGGCCGGGUGGCGCAGGGGGGGGGGGGGGAGGCGGGCUGUGGGGUGGUAACCGGCUUUCGCCGGUGAGGAGGCGGGAGUGAAGGUAGUGGAAAAAGAAGCACCGGCUAACUACGGGCCAGGAGCGGCCGUAAUAGGAGGAAGAGAACACGCCUGACC
rnacentral:rRNA from 1 species